rnacentral:rRNA from 1 species
CAGUCGCCACGGGAAUACGGAGGGUGCGAGCGUUAAUAGGAUUUACUGGGCGUAAAGCGUGCGUAGGCGGCUAAUUGAGUCGGAUGUGAAAUCCCCGAGCUUAUCUUGGGAAUUGCAUUCGAUACUGGUUAGCUAGAGUGUGGGAGAGGAUGGUAGAAUUCCAGGUGUAGCGGUGAAAUGCGUAGAGAUCUGGAGGAAUACCGAUGGCGAAGGCAGCCAUCUGGCCUAACACUGACGCUGAGGUACGAAAGCAUGGGGAGCAAACAGGAUUAGAUACCCGCGUAGUCCCUGUCUCUUAUAC